rnacentral:ribozyme from 1 species
CGCAGAGUGACGGCCCACACCGGGCCGGUAAUGCGGGACCUGAAAGGGCGCGGUCACAACCCCGC